rnacentral:rRNA from 1 species
GACGAACGCUGGCGGCGUGCCUAAUACAUGCAAGUAGGACGCACAGUUUAUACCGUAGCUUGCUACACCAUAGACUGUGAGUUGCGAACGGGUGAGUAACGCGUAGGUAACCUACCUAUUAGAGGGGGAUAACUAUUGGAAACGAUAGCUAAUACCGCAUAACAGUAUGUAACACAUGUUAGAUGCUUGAAAGAUGCAAUUGCAUCGCUAGUAGAUGGACCUGCGUUGUAUUAGCUAGUAGGUAGGGUAAAGGCCUACCUAGGCAACGAUACAUAGCCGACCUGAGAGGGUGAUCGGCCACACUGGGACUGAGACACGGCCCAGACUCCUACGGGAGGCAGCAGUAGGGAAUCUUCGGCAAUGGGGGGAACCCUGACCGAGCAACGCCGCGUGAGUGAAGAAGGUCUUCGGAUCGUAAAGCUCUGUUGUUAAGGAAGAACGAGUGUGAGAAUGGAAAGUUCAUGCUGUGACG